rnacentral:rRNA from 1 species
UACGUAGGGGGGCAAGCGUUGUCCGGAUUUAUUGGGCGUAAAGAGCGUGUAGGCGGCCAGAUAGGUCCGUUGUGAAAACUGGGAGGCUUAACCUCCAGCGGUCGAUGGAGCCAUUUGGCUAGAGUCCGGAAGAGGAGAGUGGAAUUCCUGGUGUAGCGGUGAAAUGCGCAGAUAUCAGGAAGAACACCCGUGGCGAAGGCGGCUCUCUGGGACGGUACUGACGCUGAGACGCGAAAGCGUGGGGAGCGAACAGG